ensembl:misc_RNA Metazoa_SRP Metazoan signal recognition particle RNA
GCUGGGUGCGGUGGUGCGCACCUGUAAUCCCAGCUACUCAGGAGGCUGAGGCAGGAGAAUUGCUUGAACCUGGGAGGUGAAGGUUGCAGUUUGCAAAGAUCGUGCCACUGCACUCCAGCCUGGGCAACAGAGCAAGACUCUGUCUCAA